UGUGAACAGUCUUACUCUUGUGCAGUUUGAGGAUAGUGUAGGACAUGGCGGGGAGCAGUCUUUCACCCUCCAAGAUGUAGAUGUCCCAGAUCCUGAGGGUGAGGGUGAAGGGAGUCUGAACACAAACAGAACAAAAGGUGCUGUUUCAGUUUGGGCAUCAUCUUCUUGAGGAUGCGGUCAUGGUGCUCCUGGAAACGCAUCAACUUCGGGAAGCCGGGGACAAAAAACCCUGCAGCAAAAAUAGAACUGAUGCUUCAAGAUAUUGCAGCGAAGAAGGAAAGAGCAACAAGUGAGAUCACUCAUCCUUUUUAAUGUCGGCACUUCAGCUAGAAGGCAGCAGAUGGUCUCCGGCGGCCACAACACAGCUGCAUCCAGCGAACAUGCUGUUGAAGUCAAGAUAACCAAACGCU